rnacentral:rRNA from 1 species
UACGUAGGGGGCAAGCGUUGUCCGGAAUCAUUGGGCGUAAAGGGCUCGUAGGCGGCCAACUAAGUCCGACGUGAAAUCCCCGGGCUCAACCCGGGAACUGCGUCCGAUACUGGAAGGCUUGAAUCCGGGAGAGGGAUGUGGAAUUCCAGGUGUAGCGGUGAAAUGCGCAGAUAUCAGGAGGAACACCAAUGGCGAAGGCAGCUCGCUGGAACGGUACUGACGCUGAGGCGCGAAAGCGUGGGGAGCGAACAGG